UACGUAGGGUGCGAGCGUUGUCCGGAAUUAUUGGGCGUAAAGAGCUCGUAGGCGGUGUGUCGCGUCGGCCGUGAAAACCUGGGGCUCAACUCUGGGCGUGCGGUCGAUACGGGCAUCACUUGAGUUCGGCAGGGGGAGACUGGAAUUCCUGGUGUAGCGGUGAAAUGCGCAGAUAUCAGGAGGAACACCGGUGGCGAAGGCGGGUCUCUGGGC
rnacentral:rRNA from 1 species